AUUGAACGCUGGCGGCAGGCCUACCACAUGCAAGUCGAACGAGUGGCGGCCGGGUGAGUAAUGUCUGGGCAACUGCCCGCUGGAGGGGGAUAACUACUGUAAACGGUAGCUACUAACGCAUACCAUCGAAUGUGCCCAGAUGGGAUUAGCUAGUAGGUGGGGUAACGGCUCACCUAUGCGACGAGCCCGAGCUGGUCUGAGAUGAUGACCAGCCACACUGGAACUGAGACACGGUCCAGACUCCGACGUGAGGAAGCAGUGGGGAAUAUGGCAGAAUGGGCGCAAGCCUGAUGCAGCCAUGCCGCGUGUAUGAAGAAGGGCUUAGGGUGGUAAAGUACUUUCAGCGAGGAGGCGUUACUCGCAGAAGAAGCACCGGCUAACUCCGUGCCAGCCGACGCGGUAAUUC
rnacentral:rRNA from 1 species